rnacentral:rRNA from 1 species
AUGGCUAAGGCGACGAGGCGGGUUGACGAAGCGGCGGCUCGGGGUGCAGCCGUUGACCCGACGGCAGGGGCGGCUUUGGAACAGGGCGAGGCGGAGGCGAGGCCGCCUCAUCCGGGGUGGCUUGACGGAGAUGCGAGGCCGCUCGGCCUGGGCGGCUCAACGCGAUCCAGAACGGAGACCGAGGCAGAGACCAGCGGAUAUGUAGGUGGCUCGAGACCGCGGUGUCGAGGGCGAGGCGUAGCUGAAGCUGCUCGGCCAGGGUGGCUCGGCGACAACUCGGUCAGGGCGACUCGCGACGGCUUGGAAGGCUCGGCGGCCGGCGGCACCCGCGGGUCGACGACGGUGGCAGGCCGCUUGGCGCAGGGUCGACGGAGGCAGAGGUGA